rnacentral:rRNA from 1 species
UAGGGAAUCUUCCACAAUGGACGCAAGUCUGAUGGAGCAACGCCGCGUGAGUGAAGAAGGUUUUCGGACCGUAAAGCUCUGUUGUUGGUGAAGAAGGAUAGAGGUAGUAACUGGCCUUUAUUUGACGGUAAUCAACCAGAAAGUCACGGCUAACUACGUGCCAGCAGCCGCGGUAAUACGUAGGUGGCAAGCGUUGUCCGGAUUUAUUGGGCGUAAAGCGAGCGCAGGCGGAAGAAUAAGUCUGAUGUGAAAGCCCUCAGCUUAACCGAGGAAUUGCAUCGGAAACUGUUUUCUUGAGUGCAGAAGAGGAGAGUAGAACUCCAUGUGUAGCGGUGGAAUGCGUAGAUAUAUGGAAGAAUACCAGUGGCGAAGGCGGCUCUCUGGUCUGCAACUGACGCUGAGGCUCGAAAGCAUGGGUAGCGAACAGGAUUAGAUACCCUGGUAGUCCAUGCCGUAAACGAUGAGUGCUAAGUGUUGGGAGGCUUCCGCCUCUCAGUGCUGCAGCUAACGCAUUAAGCACUCCGCCUGGGGGAGUACGACCGCAAGGUUGAAAC